rnacentral:Y_RNA from 1 species
AGCUAGUCCAAGUGCAGUGGUAUUUUCAACUAACUAAUCACAACCAGUUACAGAUUCCUUUGUUCCUCCUCCACUCCUACAGUUUCACUUGACUAGCCUAAA